GAUGAACGCUGGCGGCGUGCCUAAUACAUGCAAGUCGAGCGAACAGACGAGGAGCUUGCUCCUCUGACGUUAGCGGCGGACGGGUGAGUAACACGUGGAUAACCUACCUAUAAGACUGGGAUAACUUCGGGAAACCGGAGCUAAUACCGGAUAAUAUAUUGAACCGCAUGGUUCAAUAGUGAAAGACGGUUUUGCUGUCACUUAUAGAUGGAUCCGCGCCGCAUUAGCUAGUUGGUAAGGUAACGGCUUACCAAGGCAACGAUGCGUAGCCGACCUGAGAGGGUGAUCGGCCACCCUGGAACUGAGACACGGUCCAGACUCCUACGGGAGGCAGCAGUAGGGAAUCUUCCGCAAUGGGCGAAAGCUUGACGGAGCAACGCCGCGUGAGUGAUGAAGGUCUUCGGAUCGUAAAACCCUGUUAUUAGGGAAGAACAAAUGUGUAAGUAACUAUGCACGUCUUGACGGUACCUAAUCAGAAAGCCACGGCUAACUACGUG
rnacentral:rRNA from 1 species